GAUGAACGCUGGCGGCGUGCCUAAUACAUGCAAGUCGAGCGAACAGAUAAGGAGCUUGCUCCUUUGACGUUAGCGGCGGACGGGUGAGCAACACGUGGGUAACCUACCUAUAAGACUGGGAUAACUUCGGGAAACCGGAGCUAAUACCGGAUAACAUUUGGAACCGCAUGGUUCUAAAGUGAAAGAUGGUUUUGCUAUCACUUAUAGAUGGACCCGCGCCGUAUUAGCUAGUUGGUAAGGUAACGGCUUACCAAGGCAACGAUACGUAGCCGACCUGAGAGGGUGAUCGGCCACACUGGAACUGAGACACGGUCCAGACUCCUACGGGAGGCAGCAGUAGGGAAUCUUCCGCAAUGGGCGAAAGCCUGACGGAGCAACGCCGCGUGAGUGAUGAAGGGUUUCGGCUCGUAAAACUCUGUUAUUAGGGAAGAACAAACGUGUAAGUAACUGUGCACGUCUUGACGGUACCUAAUCAGAAAGCCACGGCUAACUACGUG
rnacentral:rRNA from 1 species